CCCCGGCUCGACCCCAGUUGUCCCGAACCUCCCCCGAACCGAUCCUCCAGCCCCCCGUCGCCGCGCCGUGAUGCAACCCCAGGCCCCGGUCGCCGCGCCCCCAGGGCCUCGCCGCCGCGCCGCGAUGCCACCUCUGCUGCGACCCUAGGGUCCGGCCGCCGCGCCGCCAGGCCACCUCCGCCGUGCCGCCAGGCCCCAGCCGCCGCACUACCAGGCCACCUCCGCCGCGCCGCCAACCUUCCUUGGCUGCGCUGUCAGGCCCUACGUCGCCGCCGCACUACUCCAGCCAGCGUCCCACCGUGCCACGCUGCUCCAGCCGGCCUUCCACCGCGCUGUGCUUCCCCAGCCCGCCUCGCAAUGCGACGCUGCCCCAGGCCGUUCACGGCCGCUACCCCAGUCUGUUCACCACUGCCAACCAAGGCCGUUCAAUGAUGGGUCGGUCAACAAAAGCAAUGACCUGAGGGAAGAAGACGGAGCUAAAAUGAUUCAGUUCAUCAUUGGCACCCUAUAACCCAAACAGUGAAGAACACACCCCUUGUACUUUUGCUCUUGUUCCUUCUGUCUCCUGAAUUCCACUCUUGAUGAGCAUGCUUGGUACUAGAUAGAUACUGCUGUCGUAGUUCUAAUACAAUAUAUUACAACAAUUCAUUGACAAAAAAUUGUCAAUUCAUAUAUGUAUGCAGCGGCUGUUCUGAUACUACUUCAGUAACCAGAAAAACACAAAAGUUCAACUAUACUUAUACAAAAUAGUUUAAUAUUUUAUUCUAUGACACUCAAGAAAAACAGAAAUAAAAGAGGUUCGUCAUGUGAUGAACAAUAGUCCCAACAAGUGUGCUAGAGAUGCAAAAAAAUUGAUGGCAUAGUCGAUGCUAUUUUUCAUCCAAUUUCUGAAGAAAACUAAAGUUGAUCAGAGUAACUGAAGAAUAAUCUAUUAGUUCUCGAGUAUGUGUAAUGAUGCCAUUUUACUGUGCAUUUGUUUCCAUCGCGACGGAUGUAUUCCAAGAUAUGGUUGUAUCAUUGUGUUGAAUAAAAAUACCAUGUUGCUGCAACAUUUUCUGUCAGCUCCUGUCAAGCAAUACAUGUAUGUGAGCAUCCUUCUAUGUAGUAAGUUCAUAGUCGAGAAGUCAGGAACUUCGGAAAAAUAACGUGAACAUAAAAAAACCAUAAAAACCUGAACCUUAUCUUAGGGGAGUUCAAGAAGUCCGUGUCUAGCCGUCUGUGGUGUGUAUUCUUAUCAGUUCAUAGUCGAGAAGACAUGUAUUCUUAUCAGUUUAUUUUUCUAGCUGGCAGUUUUGUGUAUUUGGUUAGUUUGUGUGUGUAUAUGUUGCCAUCGUGGUAUACGAGAGACCACCCCACGAGAAAGUCGCCGAUCUGGUCGAGGCAUGCUCCUGUUCUCUGUUUUCAGUUGCACAAACAUUUAAAAGUUCGAACACCAAACCCUGGUAAGUUCUCCUUACAAAAACUCAUCUCUCAUAUUUGUUCCUAUUUUUGUAGGUUCCAGUUAAAACAAGAUGCAUAACUUCAUCAUUUGUAUGCUUUUUAGUUCAUCUACUUCCCGAUGGUAUUUCCUUAAAUACUUCGGUCUUGUGCAGCUGGUACUAGUGUGAAUGGGUAGCAAGUUCAACUACCAAUCCACACCAAGUUCAGACCUCUUUUUGGAAUUGGGCCUGCCCCAUGAUCCGGCGUCGCCCUCCGCUGCCUCAGCACGCAGGCCGUUCACCUUCACCACCCCUGGCCGUUCACCACCACCACCAGCGCCCGUUCAAUGCCGCCCCAACAACCCAGUGCGACUUUGUCUCUCUCAACUUAAAAAGCGGUUCAGCUCAGUGCAUGUCAGACAUUAAAGCAAUAUUCUGUAGUAGCUUCAAAAAAUGCAAAUGGUCAUGUUUCCACAAGACUGACAGAACACUGCCAAUUGAAUUGAGCACUAGCGGAACUGUGAAGCACUGACGAAACACUACCAAUUGAAUUGAACGUUGACCACGUCUCCACCCUCCCCACGCCCGCCAAUGCUGCGACCACCCCUCCCCCUCACGAUUUCUCGUUGAUAUCGCUGUAUUCAUGCUUGUUACGUGAGUUGCCUGAUGGAAGUUCUGCAACUGUCAGUCCAGAUGGAAGAAGGAGAUCCGUCCAAAGUGUGAGUUUUGCGACGUCGACGUGCAAGUUCUACAAUUAUCUGUCCAGAUGGGAGAAGGAGAUCAAUCCAACCGACGCAUCUAAAGCGACAUAUGCAGAGCCAUUCGCCUGAGUUCAUAGGCUUCUUAAAAUUUCUAAUAUAAACAAGCUGGUGGCCGCCCAUCUCUGCAUGUAUUUUAUUUCGGAUAGCCAAAUCCUGGCGCGCCCAGCCGCUGCUCGUGAACCCCGCCUCCAUCAGCUCCACUUCACUGGAGCCGUCAGUCCACAGGAAUAGGGGUAGCGGAUCCCCUAUAGCGGUCAAAUCCCGGUGCGCCCAGCCGCUGCUUGUGAACCUCGCCUCCAUCAGCUCCACUUCACCAGAGCCGUCAGUCCGCAGGAGUAGGGGUAGCAGGUUCACCCAACGUCCGACGCCUUCUUCCAUCUCCAAAAAUCUUGUUUUUUGAGUUCAGUUCUUCGUCACAUGUUUCACUAGCUGAAAAAUGCAUGGUGUUCUGAAAUUGCUUGCGGACCACUAGCUGAAAUUGCUUGACGAACAAAAGCAAAGGGCCCAAACCCACUGUCGUGCAAGAAAAAGAAAGCAAAGCCCCAACCAUCAGCUGCUCAAUCAUCAGAACUAAUAGUAAGAUGGAGAAGAGAUAAUGCAACAAAAAUCUUAGAUGGGGCAGUGAAGUCCAUUGCGCAUUCUGAUUUUUUGUAGCUCCGGACAUCAGUUGUAUUGAGACAUGGAUGGCUCUACACCUGAAGUACAUAUAUCUGACAAGCAUGAUCACAUGUUCCCUUUAGAGUCUGAUGGUCGAUGGAGAGGCGAAGCGAAAGACGGUUAGGAAGCGCAAGAGAAGUGGCAAAGACAGUAGGUCCAUGUGUAUUUAACAGCAAGUCCAUGUAUUACUACAUGAGAAGUACUGCUAGUGAGACUUCACUGCCCCAUUUCAACAAACUUGUAUACGCAAUCCUAGUUUGACAAAGUACUCUACUGCCGCUGGUUUCAGUUCCCUCACUGGAUUUGCAGGCUCACGACCAUCCUCCAACACCCCGUCAGUGCCACUAAUUUGAAGGACCUCGGUGAGCGUGUACUUCUCCUGGUAUACAAUUUCAUUCCUCCCUGUAUUGCAGUCAUUUUGGUUAGUAAACUUGUAUCGACGAAGAAUAAUUGCACCAGGAAGUUCAUAUCUUAAAACUAGAUAAGUUCGAAAAACAAACCAUGACCAGUUGAAAAAGAACCACCCUCACCCUAUUUUGUAGCUCACCUCUAAUUCGUUUC